GAUGAACGCUGGCGGCGUGCUUAACACAUGCAAGUCGAACGGUGAAGGCGGAGCUUGCUCUGCUGGAUCAGUGGCGAACGGGUGAGUAACACGUGAGCAAUCUGCCCCUGACUCCGGGAUAAGCGCUGGAAACGGCGUCUAAUACUGGAUACGAGCUGCGAAGGCAUCUUCAGCAGCUGGAAAGAAUUUCGGUCAGGGAUGAGCUCGCGGCCUAUCAGCUUGUUGGUGAGGUAAUGGCUCACCAAGGCGUUGACGGGUAGCCGGCCUGAGAGGGUGACCGGCCACACUGGGACUGAGACACGGCCCAGACUCCUACGGGAGGCAGCAGUGGGGAAUAUUGCACAAUGGGCGAAAGCCUGAUGCAGCAACGCCGCGUGAGGGACGACGGCCUUCGGGUUGUAAACCUCUUUUAGCAGGGAAGAAGCGAAAGUGACGGUACCUGCAGAAAAAGCGCCGGCUAACUACGUG
rnacentral:rRNA from 1 species